GACGGAGGGUGCUAGCGUUGUUCGGAAUUACUGGGCGUAAAGGGCUCGUAGGUGGCCAACUAAGUCGGACGUGAAAUCCCUCGGCUUAACCGGGGAACUGCGUCUGAUACUGGAUGGCUUGAGUUCGGGAGAGGGAUGCGGAAUUCCAGGUGUAGCGGUGAAAUGCGUAGAUAUCUGGAGGAACACCGGUGGCGAAGGCGGCAUCCUGGACCGACACUGACGCUGAGGAGCGAAAGCCAGGGGAGCAAACGGG
rnacentral:rRNA from 1 species